rnacentral:ncRNA from 1 species
UUUUAAAAUAAAUUUAUAUUUUAUCUGAGACACAUUUAUUAUUGGGUGUUUGUUGAGUUCAAUAUAUUCAUAAUUGAUACUAGGAGAUGGUGUGCAACUCCUCAAUAUGGGACAUGUUUCCUCUAAUGUAUGUGUUGUCGAGUCCAAAAUAUAGAUAUCAUCAGUAGCUGGUCCGAGAGGAUGAUCAGCCACACUGGGACUGAGACACGGCCCAGACUCCUGCGGGAGGCAGCAGUGGGGAAUUUUUCGCAAUGGGCGAAAGCCUGACGGAGCAAUGCCGCGUGGAGGUAGAAGGCCUACGGGUCGUGAACUUCUUUUCCCGGAGAGAAGCAAUGACGAUAUAUGGGGAA